rnacentral:misc_RNA from 1 species
UUUCCGUAGGUGAACCUGCGGAAGGAUCAUUAAAGAGUAAGGGUCUUCGGGCCCGAUCUCCAACCCUUUGUUUAACUACCAUGUUGCUUUGGCGGGCCCGUCUCACGACCGCCGGGAGUUUGGCUUCGACCAAACUUCUGGCCCGUGCCCGUCAGUGGCCCCUUCAAAUUCUUGAUCAAGUAUGAUGUCUUAGUUAAAAACUUAAUAGUUAAAACUUUCAACAACGGAUCUCUUGGUUCUG